GAUGAACGCUGUCGGCGUGCCUAAUACAUGCAAGUCGAGCGAACAGACGAGGAGCUUGCUCCUCUGACGUUAGCGGCGGACGGGUGAGUAACACGUGGAUAACCUACCUAUAAGACUGGGAUAACUUCGGGAAACCGGAGCUAAUACCGGAUAAUAUAUUGAACCGCAUGGUUCAAUAGUGAAAGACGGUUUUGCUGUCACUUAUAGAUGGAUCCGCGCCGCAUUAGCUAGUUGGUAAGGUAACGGCUUACCAAGGCAACGAUGCGUAGCCGACCUGAGAGGGUGAUCGGCCACACUGGAACUGAGACACGGUCCAGACUCCUACGGGAGGCAGCAGUAGGGAAUCUUCCGCAAUGGGCGAAAGCCUGACGGAGCAACGCCGCGUGAGUGAUGAAGGUCUUCGGAUCGUAAAACUCUGUUAUUAGGGAAGAACAAAUGUGUAAGUAACUAUGCACGUCUUGACGGUACCUAAUCAGAAAGCCACGGCUAACUACGU
rnacentral:rRNA from 1 species